rnacentral:rRNA from 1 species
GACGAACGCUGGCGGCGUGCUUAACACAUGCAAGUCGAACGAUGAAGCCCUUCGGGGUGGAUUAGUGGCGAACGGGUGAGUAACACGUGGGCAAUCUGCCCUUCACUCUGGGACAAGCCCUGGAAACGGGGUCUAAUACCGGAUAAUACUCCUGCCUGCAUGGGUGGGGGUUAAAAGCUCCGGCGGUGAAGGAUGAGCCCGCGGCCUAUCAGCUUGUUGGUGGGGUAAUGGCCCACCAAGGCGACGACGGGUAGCCGGCCUGAGAGGGCGACCGGCCACACUGGGACUGAGACACGGCCCAGACUCCUACGGGAGGCAGCAGUGGGGAAUAUUGCACAAUGGGCGAAAGCCUGAUGCAGCGACGCCGCGUGAGGGAUGACGGCCUGG